CAGCCAUGUGGUACACCAGGAAAUGUUUGGGGCCAGAGACCUCAGCUGGAACCCAGCUCCAUCAUGGGACAUGGGAGAGGGCACCACCUGCUCUCUGGCACCCACCUCGAAGGAGCUCCUGCUUCCUCGUGAGGCACUCGCGUUCCUUGUCACAGAUCUCCCGCCGGUUGUCAGCAGUGAUCCUCUUCAUCGCCAGCUCAAGGUCCUCCUUCUGCUUCGCCAAGAAGUCCCGGUCCUGUAGGAGAGAGAGGAGGCAGGCCUUCACCCAGUGGUGGUUUGGGUGUUUCAACUUAUUUUUAUAAUGAAAGAAGAGUCAUCAUGGUCAUAAAGAAAAUUUAGAAAAGCAAAUUCAUGGAGGGGAAAUCUAAGACAUCUAGAGAUCUAUCAAUCAAUGCAACAUGCAGGCUUUAUCUGAACCCUGAUUCAAACAACGAAUUCUGAAAGAAAAAAAAAAAGGCAUUCAUGAGACAAUUAGAAAUGUGACUACUGGUACCUGACUGCCAAGAUGUUAUUAAGUAAUUGUUAAAUAUUCAAAUUUUUAGGUGUGUUUAUGAUACUAUUUUUUUGGGGUUUUUUUUAGAGAUACUGAGAUAUUUACAGGUAAAAUAUAAUGUCUGGGAUGUGAUUCAAAAUAAUACAGUUAGGUGGGGGAGCAAGUGGACAUGAGUUUAUAAUUACUGAGAUCAGUUGAUAGGUGUAAUAGUAGAAGGAACCCCCACAUACCCAUUUCUGCUUAUGUCUUUAAUCUUCCAUAGUAAAGAGUAAAGAAAUAGAAUUUAAAUGAAAAAAUUUUAGGCAACACACUAAAAGAAGCUA